UUCUCUGUGGUCAUACUUCUAUUUGUAUCUUUGUCCCUCUAAUUUUAGUCCAAUAACUUAAGUUUAAGUGUUAUAUAAUCGAAGAGCAGUGUUGGUCUAGCGAUGAAAGCGUGUGAUGCCUGAGGUAGUGAGUUCAAAUCCCGGCUUUACACCAAUACAUUUGUCUAAGUGCGCAUAUAACUUGCAACGCAAGGAAACUAGAAUAUCUCAUAAAUGCGUCAAGUACAGAAGGUUGAUAACCUACUGGUUGUGAUGUGCCUAAGGUUUUAGCCACGGGUUUAUUAACAAAGGCAAUAAGUAUUUGAAUGUUUUAAUACAAACUACAACAAAGCUAAACAAGUGACGGUUUAAUCCACAAAACAAAUUGAAACCGCGCAGCUUUGUGGAUGACAAUGACAAACAUACGAGCUAAUUACGGAAGACAUUGAUGUUGUAUUACUACUGUAACUGAAAGGAAAAUUAGAAAAAAUAAUCGAAACAAUAUCUAUAAAUCAAGAAGGCGACCUUUUGUGCCUGACAAAGACAGAUCUAAUAUAUGCCGGCUACAUCGAGGAUUUUAACAAAUGAACAUUCAUGCUAACAUAUUUAUAACAGAGUCUUUGUUAAGCGGUACAUAACAUUGUAUAAGAUUUUAUAGAAGUCUGAUUAUCUACUUACUUAUAAAGACAAUUUAUUGAACCUACUCAGAAAUUAGUUUAUACUCCAAUGUGACGUUACGAUUGUUUAUUAUAUAGUUUUAAUACAUUAAGGGGUCACAGCUGUAUUGUUAUAUAUUUUACUCUCUCUUAGCUAAAGAAAUUCUCACGUUUUUAUUACUUAUAUUUUAGUAUUGAUUUUCUUUUUAACAUAAUGCAUACAUAGCGCAUUAACAUUCACUGAAACGGUGAAAGAAAACAUCGUGAGAAAACCGGCUUGACUCAGACCCAUGACUAUUAUGACCUGUCAAAAAUUGUAUCAAAAAUUAAGUUAGUCAAGACCAUACCAUGUGAAAAACAUAAAUAGUAUUAUGAACUCUUUAAAAAACAGUUUUUUGGAUACAAGGAGUAAUUAAAGAAUUAACACGUUUUUAAAUACCAGCUGAUGAACCAAAUUUUUAACGUUUUCUUUGUUCAAGGUUCAUAAUUUAUAAUAUUAAGUCCAUUAAUAUCACCUACGUUACCGAGAGGUCUGUUCGAGAACCAAUAGUUAUUUUAUUUAAUUUUCUUGUACAUUUAGCAGCGAUUGUGGGCAAUUUGAUACGUAUUAUGAUAAUAUAAUAUAGUUAUAAUACUAGAGGAAAAAGGCAAUAAUACUGAUACAAACGUUGAUUGUGAUAGGUUUGACGUUAAUAUUUGAUUGACUUUUGCAUUCUUGGGUUAUAAUAGGUUUGUUAUAAAAAUGCUUACAUUCAAUUAUAAAGACACAGGAAGUCCCUAAACUCUCAAUAGAGAAACACAUUUCAACUUGGUUUUUUAUAUUUUCCUUUGCUACAAUCCUAUAAAAAAAUGUGGCAGAGAGUUUAUUGCCAGUUCUUCUCUUCCGUUAUACGCUGAUUUGAAAACUGACAGUAAAUGUUAAAUGUGUAUUUCUUUCUUUUAUAUGAAUAAAUGAUUUUGUUUUCGACA